AGUAAUGUCUGGGAAACUGCCUGAUGGAGGGGGAUAACUACUGGAAACGGUAGCUAAUACCGCAUAAUGUCGCAAGACCAAAGUGGGGGACCUUCGGGCCUCAUGCCAUCAGAUGUGCCCAGAUGGGAUUAGCUAGUAGGUGGGGUAACGGCUCACCUAGGCGACGAUCCCUAGCUGGUCUGAGAGGAUGACCAGCCACACUGGAACUGAGACACGGUCCAGACUCCUACGGGAGGCAGCAGUGGGGAAUAUUGCACAAUGGGCGCAAGCCUGAUGCAGCCAUGCCGCGUGUGUGAAGAAGGCCUUCGGGUUGUAAAGCACUUUCAGCGGGGAGGAAGGCGGUAAGGUUAAUAACCUCGUCGAUUGACGUUACCCGCAGAAGAAGCACCGGCUAACUCCGUGCCAGCAGCCGCGGUAAUACGGAGGGUGCAAGCGUUAAUCGGAAUUACUGGGCGUAAAGCGCACGCAGGCGGUCUGUCAAGUCGGAUGUGAAAUCCCCGGGCUCAACCUGGGAACUGCAUUCGAAACUGGCAGGCUAGAGUCUUGUAGAG
rnacentral:rRNA from 1 species